AACUCAAACUAACUGAAGUUAAGGACACAGAAGUCUGCUUGUGUGAGGAGGUGGUUUUCUCAGCUUCUUCUGAAGAGAGGGAAAGAUCGUUUAAGGCAAGUAAACUUCAUAAUUUCAUGUUAUCAGUUGUUGUUUUUUUACUAAGAGUAAAAUAAUGUUUGUUUUUUGUUUUUGUAGAUGUUAAAAGCAAGAGACAUGGGAGAUCAUCAUUCCCUUGAGAUUUUAUGUAAGUUAUUUUUAGAAAAUAAAUUUUUCUGUUGUCUCCUGCCAGUUUACUUCACAUUUUGAUGCAACAACAGUGUGAUUACGUGCUCAUUUCAUUAAGACCAUUGAUGUCUGUGUUUUUCAUUGCAGAACUCAAACCAACUUUGGAGUUGUCUGAUUUGGAGAGUCAUCAUUCUUGGUCUUCGCUCUUAGAGGCCACUGAUGAAGAGCAGGCGGUGACUGGGAUGAAUGCUGGUCAGAGAGGAGAAUCUUCUUUCCCCUAAACUGAUGCAGCGGUGGUUUUAAAGGAGGACGCUGCCCUGGAUGAUGUAGAAGAUGUCACAUGCUGUGCUGAUGGGGCUUCUUCAUGAUUACAUCAGUUAUGCUAAAGAGAUCAUGAAAAUUGACCGUGAUGCAUGAUCUGUAUUCAUGGACUAUGAAACAAACUGUAAGUGUAUAAUUUGUUAAAAAAAAAAAAAGUUAAAUGCUUUUUCUGUGUUGUUUAGUAGAAAAGUUUACACUCUGUCAUUCAUACACCUGCUCACAUUCUUUCACACACACACACACACACACACACACACACACACAUGCGUCUGUUAAAUGUUAUAAUAUCAAAGUUAAUGUUGUGAUUUAUUUGUGUACUGUCAUGCCAGAAUAGUUGGAAAAAAAACUAACUAAUUUUAAAUUUAUUGUAUGUGUUUUCGUAUAUUUUUAUACAAUAUACAAUUGAACAAAGUCCAAUUUGAUCUUAAGUUAUAUUCAUCAAAUGUUCAAUGCUUUGUUUAUGAACUCUGUAGCUGUUAAUGCCAUCCUUUUCUGCAUUUCUUCUAACAUGUUACUUUUUGACUUUUCUCUUGUUUUUAAUAAAUAUUUUCCUUUUGGUAAUUAUUGUUUGUGUGUAAAAGUGAUAUUUAAAAUGAACAACAUUUGUAGGUUUAAUGGCUAGCUCAAUUUGGGUUAAUUUUAACGUAGAAAUGCAUUGUUUCCCCACAUGGCUGCACUCUGCGAGUUUAUUUUCUGCCAGCAGGAGGCGCUAAGAGCGAGAGGUAGGUUUCUCUGGUAACGGCUGCAGAGCGGUACUGAGCUCACAAACGCUGCCUUAUCAAGCACAUGCGAAAUGAUAUCGAACAUUUUCUAAAUACAGUAGUUUUCCUUCUGAAAUACAGUGAUAAAAAAAACACCCGCUCUGUUUUUUUAAACCCUGCAAUAUAGUCAUUUUAAACCAUAAAAAAGGCAACCCAGCAGGCUGGGUUAAAUAUGAUAACCCAACUGGUUGGGUUAAAACAACCCAGCGCUGGGUUCGUCCCUUUUUGAUCCAGCGCUGGGUUGUCAAAAUAACCCAAAUUGGGUUGUUUUCAACCCAGCAGUUUUUAGAGUGUAGAUACCUCCUAUCAAUCAAUCAGUCAAGCGCUGUGACACAAAGGCCUCAGACUUAUAUGUAAUUUUUUUAACACUUGCAACUAGUUUGAUGCAUUGACUUUGAAUAUAAAUAUAUACACAAGCUACCAUUUAACAGUCUGGGGUCAGUGAGAUUUUUUAAAAUACUUUCAUUCAGCAAGGAUAGUUUAAGUUGACAUAAAGACAUUUACAUUGUUACAAAAGAUUUCUGUUUUUUUUUAAACUGCUGUUUAUUUAAACUGAAUAAAUAUAACAGUUUCUGGAAAAAUAUAUAUAAAAAAACACACAAAUAUUUUCAACAUUUGCUAAAGUUUUUUGAGCAUUAAAUCAGCAUA
ensembl:lncRNA